rnacentral:rRNA from 1 species
CCUACGGGAGGCAGCAGUAGGGAAUCUUCGGCAAUGGGGGCAACCCUGACCGAGCAACGCCGCGUGAGUGAAGAAGGUUUUCGGAUCGUAAAGCUCUGUUGUAAGUCAAGAACGGGUGUGAGAGUGGAAAGUUCACACUGUGACGGUAGCUUACCAGAAAGGGACGGCUAACUACGUGCCAGCAGCCGCGGUAAUACGUAGGUCCCGAGCGUUGUCCGGAUUUAUUGGGCGUAAAGCGAGCGCAGGCGGUUUGAUAAGUCUGAAGUUAAAGGCUGUGGCUCAACCAUAGUUCGCUUUGGAAACUGUCAAACUUGAGUGCAGAAGGGGAGAGUGGAAUUCCAUGUGUAGCGGUGAAAUGCGUAGAUAUAUGGAGGAACACCGGUGGCGAAAGCGGCUCUCUGGUCUGUAACUGACGCUGAGGCUCGAAAGCGUGGGGAGCGAACAGGAUUAGAUACCCUGGUAGUC